GACGAACGCUGGCGGCGUGCUUAACACAUGCAAGUCGAACGGCAAGGCCCUGCUUUUGUGGGGUGCUCGAGUGGCGAACGGGGGAGUAACACGUGAGUAACCUGCCCUUGACUUUGGGAUAACUUCAGGAAACUGGGGCUAAUACCGGAUAGGAGCUCCUGCUGCAUGGUGGGGGUUGGAAAGUUUCGGCGGUUGGGGAUGGACUCGCGGCUUAUCAGCUUGUUGGUGGGGUAGUGGCUUACCAAGGCUUUGACGGGUAGCCGGCCUGAGAGGGUGACCGGCCACAUUGGGACUGAGGUACGGCCCAGACUCCUACGGGAGGCAGCAGUGGGGAAUAUUGCACAAUGGGCGGAAGCCUGAUGCAGCAACGCCGCGUGCGGGAUGACGGCCUUCGGGUUGUAAACCGCUUUCGCCUGUGACGAAGCGUGAGUGACGGUAAUGGGUAAAGAAGCACCGGCUAACUACGUG
rnacentral:rRNA from 1 species